GUGAAUCAUCAAAUUUUUGAACGCAAAUUGCACUUUCUGGUAUUCCGGAAAGUAUGCCUGUUUGAGGGUCAGUUAAAUAAAAAUCGGCGUUGUUGCUGCUUUUCGUGGUGACGCGUCGGAAUUGAGUCGUAUUACCUUCGGGUAAGUGACUUAAACUUUUUGCAUGGUUUUCGAACGUAUUUAAAUCGUUUACGUGCGUUUGAGAUAUCGAAUGCUUAUUAUGUUCGGUCAUCCUCAUGACCGGCGGCUAUCAUUUUUUCAUUAAAUUACCUCAAAUC
rnacentral:misc_RNA from 1 species